rnacentral:sRNA from 1 species
CAGCUUGGCUCAGCCCUUGGCAUUGC